GAUGAACGCUGGCGGCGUGCCUAAUACAUGCAAGUCGAGCGAACGGACGAGAAGCUUGCUUUUCUGAUGUUAGCGGCGGACGGGUGAGUAACACGUGGAUAACCUACCUAUAAGACUGGGAUAACUUCGGGAAACCGGAGCUAAUACCGGAUAAUAUUUUGAACCGCAUGGUUCAAAAGUGAAAGACGGUCUUGCUGUCACUUAUAGAUGGAUCCGCGCUGCAUUAGCUAGUUGGUAAGGUAACGGCUUACCAAGGCAACGAUGCAUAGCCGACCUGAGAGGGUGAUCGGCCACACUGGAACUGAGACACGGUCCAGACUCCUACGGGAGGCAGCAGUAGGGAAUCUUCCGCAAUGGGCGAAAGCCUGACGGAGCAACGCCGCGUGAGUGAUGAAGGUCUUCGGAUCGUAAAACUCUGUUAUUAGGGAAGAACAUAUGUGUAAGUAACUGUGCACAUCUUGACGGUACCUAAUUAGAAAGCCACGGCUAACUACGUG
rnacentral:rRNA from 1 species